rnacentral:rRNA from 1 species
UACGUAGGGUGCAAGCGUUGUCCGGAAUUAUUGGGCGUAAAGAGCUCGUAGGCGGUUUGUCACGUCGGAUGUGAAAACUCGGGGCUCAACUCCGAGCCUGCAUACGAUACGGGCAGACUUGAGUUCGGCAGGGGAGACUGGAAUUCCUGGUGUAGCGGUGAAAUGCGCAGAUAUCAGGAGGAACACCGGUGGCGAAGGCGGGUCUCUGGGCCGAUACUGACACUGAGAGACGAAAGCUAGGGGGGCAAAUGGG